CGCCCCCCAGGUGCUCUGGACGGGGCUCCCCUGCCCCAACUUCCACCUGCUGGUGGUUUGCGCCGCUCUCCUGGGGGGGCCCGGGGACGCCCCCCCCCCGCCGCGGGGCCCCCCCCGGGGAGCCCCCACCCCCCCGGGCCGGGACACCCCCCCCCCCGCCGCGGGGCCCCCCCCCGGGGACAGCGACAGCGACAGCGACAGCGACAGCGACAGCGACAGCGACGGGGGGAGCCCCCCCCCCCGGGCCGAGGCCGGCGCUGGACGCGGAGGAGCUGCUGAGCCGGGCCGAGGGGCUCUUCCUGCAGCUGGCGGCCGCCCCCGACCUGCCACCGGCCCUACAGGAGCUGCUGGGAUUGGGGGGGCCCCCCCCCGAGCCCCCCCCCCGAGCCCCCCCGGCGAGGCCGCCGCCCCCCCCGCAGCCGCCGCCCCCCCGAGAGCGCGCCGCCGCCCCCCCGCGGGGACACCCCCAUUUUAGCGGGGGGCCCCCCCAGCACCUUAAUAUGGGGGGGUCCUUCCCUCCCCCCGGGGUGGCCCCCGGACGCCUGGGUCCCCUCCCGGCUGCUGAUGGGGGGGGGACCCCAAAACUGGGGCCCCCCCAAAGCCGGGGGCGUCUCGGGGGGGCCCCCCUUGAGCUGCAUUAAAGUGUUGUCACCGCCAGAGCC